rnacentral:rRNA from 1 species
GACGAACGCUGGCGGCGUGCUUAACACAUGCAAGUCGAACGGUGAAGCGAGUGCUUGCACUCGUGGAUCAGUGGCGAACGGGUGAGUAACACGUGAGUAACCUGCCCAUCACUCUGGGAUAAGCACUGGAAACGGUGUCUAAUACUGGAUACGACCAACCCUUGCAUGGGGUGUUGGUGGAAAGAUUUAUCGGUGAUGGAUGGACUCGCGGCCUAUCAGCUUGUUGGCGGGGUAAUGGCCCACCAAGGCGACGACGGGUAGCCGGCCUGAGAGGGUGACCGGCCACACUGGGACUGAGACACGGCCCAGACUCCUACGGGAGGCAGCAGUGGGGAAUACUGCACAAUGGGCGAAAGCCUGAUGCAGCGACGCCGCGUGAGGGAUGACGGCCUUCGGGUUGUAAACCUCUUUCAGCAGGGAAGAAGCGAAAGUGACGGUACCUGCAGAAGAAGCACCGGCUAACUACGUG